rnacentral:tRNA from 1 species
GCCCCCAUCGUCUAGGGGACCAGGACGCGACCCUUUCAAGGUCAAAACCGGAGUUCGAAUCUCCGUGGGGGCACAA